CUUUCGCUCAGUGGUAGAGCAUCUGCCUUGAAUGCAGAAGGUCCCUGGUUCAGUCUCCAGCAUCUCCAGAUAGG